GCUGGGCAUGGUGGUGUAUGCCUGUAAUCCCAGAUGCUCAGAGGCUGAGGCAGGAUGGUGGCAAAUUGAAAGCCAGCCUCAG
rnacentral:sRNA from 1 species